rnacentral:rRNA from 1 species
AUGGGGAUGCGUUCCAUUAGAUAGUAGGCGGGGUAACGGCCCACCUAGUCUUCGAUGGAUAGGGGUUCUGAGAGGAAGGUCCCCCACAUUGGAACUGAGACACGGUCCAAACUCCUACGGGAGGCAGCAGUGAGGAAUAUUGGUCAAUGGGCGAGAGCCUGAACCAGCCAAGUAGCGUGAAGGAUGACUGCCCUAUGGGUUGUAAACUUCUUUUAUAAAGGAAUAAAGUCGGGUAUGGAUACCCGUUUGCAUGUACUUUAUGAAUAAGGAUCGGCUAACUCCGUGCCAGCAGCCGCGGUAAUACGGAGGAUCCGAGCGUUAUCCGGAUUUAUUGGGUUUAAAGGGAGCGUAGAUGGAUGUUUAAGUCAGUUGUGAAAGUUUGCGGCUCAACCGUAAAAUUGCAGUUGAUACUGGAUAUCUUGAGUGCAGUUGAGGCAGGCGGAAUUCGUGGUGUAGCGGUGAAAUGCUUAGAUAUCACGAAGAACUCCGAUUGCGAAGGCAGCCUGCUAAGCUGCAACUGACAUUGAGGCUCGAAAGUGUGGGUAUCAAACAGGAUUAGAUACCCUGGUAGUCCACACGGUAAACGAUGAAUACUCGCUGUUUGCGAUAUACGGCAA